rnacentral:rRNA from 1 species
GUGGGGAAUCUUAGACAAUGGGGGAAACCCUGAUCUAGCCAUGCCACGUGAGCGAUGAAGGCCUUAGGGUUGUAAAGCUCUUUCAGCUGGGAAGAUAAUGACGGUACCAGCAGAAGAAGCCCCGGCUAACUUCGUGCCAGCAGCCGCGGUAAUACGAAGGGGGCUAGCGUUGUUCGGAAUUACUGGGCGUAAAGCGCACGUAGGCGGACUGGUCAGUUAGGGGUGAAAUCCCAGGGCUCAACCCUGGAACUGCCUUUAAUACUGCCAGUCUAGAGUUCGAGAGAGGUGAGUGGAAUUCCGAGUGUAGAGGUGAAAUUCGUAGAUAUUCGGAGGAACACCAGUGGCGAAGGCGGCUCACUGGCUCGAUACUGACGCUGAGGUGCGAAAGCGUGGGGAGCAAACAGGAUUAGAUACCCGAGUAGUCC